rnacentral:lncRNA from 1 species
GUUUGUGGCAUGAAUGGCUAGUUGCCAAAUAAUAUUAGAGUACGGGUUGUACAUUUCAUUACCUGAUUAGUACGGGUUGUACAUUUCAUCACCUGAUUGGUGGCAUGAAUGGCUAGUUGCCAAAUGAUAUUAAAGUACGGGUUGUACAUUUCAUCACCUGGUUGGUGGUAAUAGCGCCAGGUUGCCGAAUAAUUUUGGAGUACUGGGCGUACUUUCGAUCACCUGGUUGGUGGUAAUAGCGGCAAGUUGUCGAAUAAUUGUGGAGUACUGGGCGUACUUUCGAUCACUUGGUUGGUGGUAAUAGCGGCAAGUUGUCGAAUAAUUUUGGAGUACUGGGCGUACUUUUG